AUUGAACGCUGGCGGCAUGCUUUACACAUGCAAGUCGGACGGCAGCACAGAGACGCUUGCUUCUUGGGUGGCGAGUGGCGAACGGGUGAGUAAUAUAUAGGAACGUACCGAGUAAUGGGGGAUAACUAAUCGAAAGAUUAGCUAAUACCGCAUAUUCUCUGAGGAGGAAAGCAGGGGACCUUCGGGCCUUGCGUUAUUCGAGCGGCCGAUAUCUGAUUAGCUAGUUGGUGGGGUAAAGGCCUACCAAGGCGCCGAUCAGUAGCGGGUCCGAGAGGAUGAUCCGGCACACUGAGGCGGAGACACGGCCCGGGCACCGACGUGGGGCAGCAAUGGGGGAGUGUGAACAAAGGGCGCAAGCCUGAUCAAGCCAUGCAGGGGGUCUGAAGAAGGCAGGCUGGUGGUAAAGGAAGUUUGUCAGGGAAGAAAAGGCUGUUGCUUAGAUCGACAGCGGAUGACGGUACCUGAAAAAAGAGCACCGGGUAAGUACGGG
rnacentral:rRNA from 1 species